UACCAGCACCCCGAGUGGUCGGGACGUUUAUUGGGCCUAAAGCAUCCGUAGCCGGUUCUACAAGUCUUCCGUUAAAUCCAACUGCUUAACAGGUGGGCUGCGGAAGAUACUAUAGAGCUAGGAGGCGGGAGAGGCAAGCGGUACUCGAUGGGUAGGGGUAAAAUCCGUUGAACCAUUGAAGACCACCAGUGGCGAAGGCGGCUUGCCAGAACGCGCUCGACGGUGAGGGAUGAAAGCUGGGGGAGCAAACCGG
rnacentral:rRNA from 1 species